rnacentral:rRNA from 1 species
UCAAGCUACAAAGAGCACAAGGGGAAUGCCUUGGCACCGAGAGCCGAAGAAGGACGUGACUAACUGCGAUAAGCUGCGGGGAGCCGUAAGUAGGCUUUGAUCCGCAGAUUUCCGAAUGGAGCAAUCCGGCAAGAGGAAAGUCUUGUCAUCAUAUACUGAAUACAUAGGUAUAUGAGGGGAACCGCCUGAACUGAAACAUCUAAGUAGGGCGAGGAAGAGAAAUCAACUGAGAUUCCGUAAGUAGUGGCGAGCGAACGCGGAAGAGGCCAAACCGAGAGUAGUAAUACUUUCGGGGUUCGGACAGAAUACGGUAUUGUAAAGGUUUAGUGGAAUGGAAUGGGAAGUCCAACCGAAGAAGGUGAGAGUCCUGUACACGAAAAGCCUGAACAGCCAUCUGUAUCCAGAGUACCGCCGGACACGUGAAACCCGGUGGGAAUAUGGGGGGACCAUCCUCCAAGCCUAAAUACUACUCGGUGACCGAUAGUGAAGAAGUACUGUGAAGGAAAGGUGAAAAGUACCCCUGACGGGGAGUGAAAAAGAACCUGAAACCUUGUGUUUACAAGCACCGAAAGCUCAUCAAAGAGCGAUCGGGUACCUUUUGUAGAAUGGUCCGGCGAGUGAAUGUAACCGGCGAGGUUAAGCACUUAAGGUGUGAAGCCGCAGCGAGAGCAAGUCUGAAUAGGGCGUAUGAAGUCGGUUGUAUUCGACCCGAAACCGGGUGACCUACCCAUGGUCAGGUUGAAGUAAAGGUAAAACUUUAUGGAGGACCGAACCGACUCCCGUUGAAAUGGUAGCGGAUGAACUGUGGGUAGCGGAGAAAUUCCAAUCGAACCCGGAGAUAGCUGGUUCUCUCCGAAAUAGCUUUAGGGCUAGCCUUGAAAUAGAUUACCGGAGGUAAAGCACUGAAUUGGCUAGGGGCCGAGAGGUUACUGAACCUUAUCAAACUAAGAAUGCCGGAUAAUCGUUUUUCAGGAGUCAGACAGUGGGAGAUAAGUUUCAUUGUCAAAAGGGAAACAGCCCAGACCCACAGCUAAGGUCCCCAAGUAUAGUUAAGUGGAAAAGGAUGUGGAAUUGCACAGACAACCAGGAUGUUGGCUUAGAAGCAGCCACUCAUUAAAAGAGUGCGUAAUAGCUCACUGGUCGAGUGACUCUGCGCCGAAAAUUUAACGGGGCUAAACUAUACACCGAAGCUUGGGAUACAUCUAAUGUAUGGUAGGAGAGCGUUCUGUAUGGGGUGAAGUCGUAGCGAAAGCGGCGGUGGACUGUACAGAAGUGAGAAUGCCGGAAUAAGUAGCGAGAAUUAAGUGAGAAUCUUAAUGGCCGAAAGUCUAAGGUUUUUGGAGGAAGGUUCGUCCGCUCCAAGUAAGUCGGGAGCUAAGGUCAGGCCGAAAGGCGUAGCCGAUGCACAUACGGUUGAUAUUCCGUAACCAUCUGUAAUUUAAGCAAAGGGACACUUCAAAAGGGUGUGACCCGGGCGUUGGUUGACCCGGGCGUAAGGGACCGAAAUUAGAGUAGGGAAGCACACUUGGCUGAAGGCGAGAAAAGCUUUGCGUAUAGAAGCAGAUGCCCGUACCGCAAACCGACACAGGUGGACAGGAAGAGAAUUCUAAGGCCAGCGGGAGAAGGGUAGUUAAGGAACUCGGCAAAUUGACUCCGUAACUUCGGAAUAAGGAGUGCUCGAAAGAGCCGCAGAGAAUAGGCCCAGGCGACUGUUUAGCAAAAACACAGGUCUCUGCCAAAUCGAAAGAUGAAGUAUAGGGGCUGACACCUGCCCGGUGCCGGAAGGUUAAGAGGAGGAGUGAGAGCUCCGAAUUGAAGCCCCGGUAAACGGCGGCCGUAACUAUAACGGUCCUAAGGUAGCGAAAUUCCUUGUCGGGUAA